rnacentral:rRNA from 1 species
UACGUAGGGGGCUAGCGUUGUCCGGAAUCAUUGGGCGUAAAGACGCGUGUAGGCGGUCCGGUAAGUCCGCUGUGAAAGUCGGGGGCUCAACCCUCGAAUGCCGGUGGAUACUGUCGGGCUAGAGUGCGGAAGAGGCGAGUGGAAUUCCUGGUGUAGCGGUGAAAUGCGCAGAUAUCAGGAGGAACACCUAUUGCGAAGGCAGCUCGCUGGGACGUAACUGACGCUGAGACGCGAAAGCGUGGGGAGCAAACAGG